UUCCUGGACUUUGUCAUUUCUUUGAAUGGU
rnacentral:piRNA from 1 species